AGACUUCUUUCAGUUUCCAUCUACCCAAUCCACUCACAGGGCUUUGGUCAGCCCAAGGCUAUAGUAGAAGACACUUGCCCAAGGUGCCAUGCAGUGGGUCUGAACCUGGAACCAUGUGGUUGGAAAGCAAGCUUCAAACCGCAGCCAUGUCUGCGCCUAUGGUGAAGUCAGUCUCUUGCUACUUGGAGUUUCACCUGUAGGUGCAUGGGGGUCUUCAGGCAAGUUACAACUUAUUCUAGAUGUGUGUGUAUGCAUAUAUAUGUAUAUACACGUGAGUGUGCAUUUUUCUGUCUCCUUGUUUUGACAUCAUGUGAUUGUUGUAAAAGAAUGUCAUUCAUUGCCAGUAUUCUGCAGACAACAUGUCUGACCACUAGGAAAUAUUACCUUAUUUGGAAACAGGAUGUUUUGAUAUUGUUUUUACUGUUGCUGUUUAAGUCCAGGUCACUUCUGAUUGAGCAGACCUUUGAUCAAAAGCAUUCCAGCCAUGACCAUACUAUUUAGUUUGUUGAGGUAGAUUUUCCAUGGCUGGCUGCCCUUCAUGUCACUGAUGCUCACCUAUUUCCAAGCAAGGUUUAUAUUUCCUCAUGGCCUGAUGUACCAUGUUCAGUAAUUUGGUGGGCUCUGAUGAAACUAGGUGUUGAUGAAUGGCUUGUGCAGGCAGUUCAAGCUAUGUACGAUGAUGCAGUAUGGUAAAUUACUCUUGUAAUGAAUUUAGCAUGAAAGUAAGAGUCUAUCGAGGUUCAUUCCUCAGUUCUCUCAUUCAUUGUGGUCCUACAAGCCAUCAUAGAAAAGUUGAAAACUGGCUGUCCAUGCUGAUGAUCUAGAUCUCAUACCCAAGUCUAUAGGGGAAUUAAAAAAGGAAUUUUAGGGAUGGAAGCUAAACCUAGAAUAGAGAGGCCUUAUGGUAAAUCCAACAAAGGCAAAGGUUUUUUAGUAAGUAGGAAAUAAAAGUGGGACCCUGGUACCUUCAGGAGAAUGGCCUUACUCAGUAUGCAGAAAAAGGGUAGGUAUAUGCUGUACCAUAUCAUCUUUACUACUCCUGCUACUUGCCCCCUCACUCUCAUUUCUGCACCCCUCUAACUUUCCCAGCUCAAUUGUUCCCUCAUCUUACACACUGCCCACCCAGCCACCUACUUCUCAGCUUGUGUCCCCUGCCUUCACCUUGGCAUUUCAUUGCUAUUAUUUAUCUUGUGCUGCUCCUACUGAUCAUUCUCUCUCCCUCUCUCUCAAAAUGCAGAUCCCUUCACAAAAACCUGCUCUCUCCCACCCUCAUAGUAAUCACUUUGUCCUCUUGCAUGAAGCUGCCCCUCGCCAUCUCCCCCAGGGUUUGUAAUCCUGCAAACUGCAUGGUAGCCUUAAUAGUGCAAGUGACAUAAAAACAAAAAAAGAAAAGCACCCGGUCCAUUCUGUAAUACAGUUGGUAUCAAGAAAGGUAUCCAGCUGUAGGAGCCAUGCCAAAGCAGAUGCUGGAGUGCAGUGCAGUCCAUGGACACAUUUGAAUCCAUGUCAGCAUGAAACUUGAUGAUAAAUACACACACAAACACAGAUGUGUGUGUGUGCAUGUACAAAAGCAUCUCACAUAUAGCUUUAAUCUAUCCCUAACAAUUAUUAUAAUCUCCCUUAAUAACAACUAUUAAUCUUGUGAUCAUACAGUCAUUUAACAUUUGCCUAUUUCAGUAAUUCAGUCGCUAAAUUUUUGUGAGGUUGAAAUUUAAACUGACAACUGAGAAUGAAUAAUAAUAAUAAUAAUAAUAAUAAUAAUAGUAAAUAAAGAUAGUUCCAGGUUUAAAAUGUUUCUACUGCUGCUUAACUCUGCCUCUCCCUCUUUCUUUUUAAGCAUAUGGUCUAUAUCUCUUUGUAUAUAUUUACAAACACACACACAUGUAUUUCUCUACACAAACAAUACUACAUAUUUUCUUACCUGCUCAUGAACACACCUUUCUUUCCCUGUGCACAUACCUGUGUGAAGAGGUAACAACUAUACAAACCUAACACAAAAGGUUUAAUGUGCUGUGUACACACAUAUUGUCUAGUCUGUUGUUUUUUUUGCUCUGGCUUUUAAUUUAGUUCACUGAAAAGUGGGUGCUGCUUGUAAGUCUUUCCCUGUUUAGAUUAGAGAAGUGAACACAAGUUAAUGGUCGACUUGUAUCCUAUUUAUAUGAAGGUAGAAAAUUCUAGAGUUGUAGGUCUGUGAGGUGAAAAGACUGAACAAAGGGCAGGUUGACAUGUGGUAGUUGAAAGGGUGCGUCAGAUGGAUUUAAUCAGGGUGGUCUGUGACUUCCUGGUUCAGAAUAGCUUAAAGCUUUUGUCAUAUUUGCUUGUGUGUGUGUGUGGUGACUAGGAUAUGAAUGCAACUUCAGGUGUGUGUGUGUGUGUGUGAUAUAAACACAAACUUUAUAAGUAGUGAUAUUGUAUUGAAGAUUAAACACGAAAGUAAUGGGAGUAAGUGUGGUGAAUGGGAUACCAGCACGAAGCUUCUGAAGUAUGUACACUGUACAUAGAUUAAAUUUGAUCUUCUGGCAUGGCAGAAAGGAACCUCUGUGUGGUCACUCAACCUGCUAACAAUAACAAACAGAUCUCCAACAAAUCACAUGUUGCUGUGUUACAAUUAGAAAACAGACGUUUUAGAUAAUAGGUCUGCUUACUGAGGAUUGACCUGGGGUUAAACAACAGCCUAUGUGUUAAUCAAAAUAAUUUAUGAAUCUUAUGAACAUGUGUAUCAUUUGUAGUUGGUCACUGUCUGUCCUUAAAGAGGGCAGAAAUUUUUGUCUUUAAUCCUUUUUCCUCUUCCCAGCCCUCUCUUUCUACACCCUCAUUGAACUGGCACAUCAUAUUUAAUGACAGUGUCGGCCUCUAUAUACACACACAUAGUCUGAUGAAGGCUAGCAAGUCAAAACUUCAAAGUCACAGUCAAUCCCCUUGUUAAAGUUUCAUAAAUAGAUUCUCUACUAAAAGCAUGGAGUCAUCCUUCAGUUUAAUGUUUAACUGUUUUUAUAUAUAACUUGAUGUUAAAAAAUAACUUUAACAAAUAUAUAUGUGAGUGUACAUUUAUAUGUAUAUGUGUGUAUGAAUAUAUGUAUGUACGUAUAUGUAUAUGUGUGUAUAUAUUUAUAUAUAUGUAUAUGUGUGUAUUUAUUUAUAUAUAUGUAUGUGUGUAUUUAUAUAUAUGUAUGUGUGUAUUUAUAUAUAUGUAUGUGUAUAUAUGUAUGUGUUUAUAUGUAUCUGUAUGUGUGUAUAUAUAUAUAUGUGUGUGUGUGUAUCUAUAUGUGUAUAUAUAUCUUUGUGUUCGUGUGUGUGUGUGUGUGUAUAUAUAUAUCUAUAUGUGUAUAUAUAUCUUUGUGUUCGUGUGUGUGUGUGUGUGUGUAUAUAUAUCUAUAUGUGUAUAUAUAUCUUUGUGUUCGUGUGUGUGUGUGUAUACAUACACACCAGAGAACAGUUGGACUUCUCUCUUUGUGCAGUGUUUAUUCUUGAGAUUGUUUAUUUUUGUCUUCCUCAACUUCAGCAAUGUCUUUUGUGGAGGAGGGAUGAAUGUUGGUGUGGUAGUAGUGGCUGAGACAAAGGUUCAAAUUGAACCACCUGCUCUUUGGCAGGGCAGAUUGUAGGGAGAUGAAUAAAAUAAAAUAUUGUGUUAGUAACCAACCAUCCCUCCUAUUGUUGUUGUUGUUUCCUUGCUUUCCCCUCCUUGUACAUCCUCCCAUAUCUCUUUUCUUUCCUUGCAGUCAUUGCCCUACCAUCCAUCCAUCCAUUCCAAAAGUAGUAAACACAUUUACCAGGAGAAAUAUAUUUAUAUUAUACUUCCAGUCACCUGCCACCCUACUCAGCAUCUACCAUCUUUCUGCUUUAUCAUCUUAGCCUUUGGCUAGAGUAAUACUUCAUUAUUAUUAUUAUUCUGCUAAGGUCGACUUUGCCUUUUAUCAAUAAAGUACCAGUGAAACACUGGGGGGGGGGUCAAUGUAAUCAUCAAGUCCCCUCCCCACAAAUUUGAGAUCUUGUGCCUUCAGUUGAUAAGAUUAUUAUUAUCAUUAUUAUUAUUAUUCUGCCAAAGUCAACUUUGCCUUUCAUCCUCUCGGGGUCGAUAAAUUAAGUACUGAGGUCAAUGUAAUUGCCUAUCCCUCUCCCCCCAAAUGUCAGGCCUUGUACUUUUAGUAGAAAGGAUUAUUAUUAUUAUGAUGCAUGUGGUCUUCCAUCUUUAUGUUCUGAGCUCAAAUUUGCCUUUCAUCCUUUCGGGGUCGAUAAGAUAAGCACCAGCCGAACACUGUGAUUGAUGUAAUUGAUUUACGCCCUCCUCUGAAAUUGGUUGCCCUGUACCCAGAUUUAAAACCUUAAUUAAUGCAUGUGUUACCUUUUGUUGGCUAGCAUCAUCGUCAAACAUCCACUUUUCUUUGUCAAUCUCUUUUGCCAAACCACUAACUUAUGGGGACAUUACCAAACCAAAUACCAUUUGUCAAAUAAUGGUGAGAGGGGCAAACACAAAGGUGUGCGUGCACACACACACACACACCUCUUCCACACUGUUUCUGUCUGCCAAAUGCACUUACCCCAAAGUGAUGUACAGUGGGACUGAACCCCAAACCACAAAACCAUAGUUGCAAAGCAGGUUUCUUAACCAUCCUUUUGGGGUUGAUAAAUUUAAGCCGAUGUAAUUGAUUUGCCCCCUCCUCCAAAAUUUCAGCCCUUGUGUCUUUGGCAGAAAGGGUUAUUAUUAUUAAUAAUAAUAAUAAUACAUUUGAUUCCAAAUUAAAAAGUAACAGCUACUUGAAUUUCUUCAAUUGCUUUAUUACUAUGGCAACUAUGCUUCUGCUGUCGCCAUCUCUUGUGGUAAUCAUACAUCCAAGUUUACAGAAAUUACCAGUAACUGGGGUGGUUUUUUUUCUUCUUUUUUGCUUGUUUUAAACAUUUUGUGGUCUUCAUUGUAUGAGUUGUCAUCAUAGAUAACUAUUCUUGUACAUCUUUUAUUGUAUGAGGUGUCCUCACUACAAACUAAUUCUUUUAUAUUUGGCUCAUCUAAAGCCCUGAUUUCCUGUCAGUCUGCCAGAGAUCCCACAGCAUCUUUGCAUAUGAGCAAUAAUUGAAUGACUGAGAACAUUAAGUUCUUGCCAACUUCCUUCAUAUUGAACUUGGCCAUUUCCCAGUUGGUAACUGGUUUUUGUACUCCUUGUUACUGUCUAGUACUGUGGACUGGUUACUAAUUAGUAUUAUGCUUACAUUACUAAUUAGUAUUGCGGGUGUCGUUACUAACCCCUUUGCUACCAGAAAGCCAUCACUACUAGCUGGCCCUCAACUACCUGAUAUACUGUUUAAUUACAGCUUCAUAGUGUGAUAAGAGUGUAGGAAUCUUCUGUUAUUGUGCCAUCCACAUCUUGGAUCACACAUGACCGAUUAGGUUGUCAGAUGUUGUUACACAUCAUUGGUCACAAUGCAGAUUUGCAUCGUUUUAGCCUUCAAAUGAUGCUACCCUGCUGGCUAGGCUAACAGGCCAACAUUCCCCCCCUAACUGAAUGUGGGGAACUGCAGCAAUGUGAAAUGAAGUGUUUUGCUCAAAAACACAAUAUGCCGUCCACUCGGGGAAUUGAACCCACAAUCUGGCAAUAGUGAGUGUAGCAGCCUAACCACUAGGCCAUGCACCUUCACACAUGUUGGAUACUUUAUAAAAAUAAUAGAUCAGCCCAUGCCAGUGCUUGACUGGUUCUUCAUUUCAUCAAAUGCAGAAACAUAAGUGAAGUUGACUUUAGCUGGUUUUGAACUCAGAAUGGAAAGGCCUAUAAAACAUAUGUGUUAAAGCAUACUGCAGGUUUUAACAUGUUAGCUGCCACAUUUUACUGCUGGUGAUUCAUUGCAGACUUCACACAACCAUCAUAUGCACAACCGGUGGUACAUUUUCGUAAUGUGAGAAAAUAUCUUAUUCUGUAUCUUUGUCAUGGUUUCUAGGUUAUUUAAAUAACAUAAAUGCUAAAUAUUAAAAUUUAAUUAUAAAAUAUUGUAAAAAUGCAAAAAAAAAAACCGUUUCCUUGUAAUUUAACGGUAUAACCAGAAAAUAUGUAGUAUCACCAAUAAGUUCCAGUAACAGGCCAUGGCAGUUAAUAUAUUGAUGAAUUUGUCUUGGUUUAGCCCUGUUGUUACCAUAUUUAUGCUGAAAUAUACUCCCCUUCUUUCAAUUAAUUUUAAAAAUAAAAAAAAAAUUAAAAUUUUGCUGCUAUUAAGCUGGGUUUUGAAAUAUAAACUAACACAAUUUUGUUGGAUGGUUUUAAUUUAGAGCACUUUAAGACUGGACAUUUCUAUCAUAAAAUGAAGUACUGCUUCAGGUGGGUUGGUGUCAAAAGGGCCAUAUAGUACUGUUGUUUUAUUACUAAUUAGUACCAUGGUCUUGUUACUGCUUAGUACUAGGGCCACAUUACUAAUUAACCCUUUCGUGUUCAGAUUCUCUGUCAAAGUAUUCAUGUCAUUUUGGAGUAAUCAUGCAUUAUUUCAUAGCUUUGAGAUUUUGAUGAUGUGAUUGUUUAUUUUUACAAUGACACUAUAAAGUAAAAGACCAGAUCUAACCAGUUUGAAGAUAAAACAAGUAGAAUAUUUUGGCCUGAUAUGACUGGUUUAAAUGCUAAAGGAUUAAUGCUAUUGCUUUGAUAUUGUUUUUAAUAAUUAUUGAUGUCAGUUUGUUUGACUAAACCCUUCAAGGCAGUGCCCCAGCAUGGCCACAGUCCAAUGACUAAAACAAAUAAAAGACAAAAAAUAAAUUUUAAAAAUGUUUUGUUUUGUGUAACAGGAACAUCCAGUCUUCAAAACACAGAAAUCCAAAAGUUGUUUUAAAAAUAAAUCAGAAAUAGAAUUUUAAAAUGUAAACAAAUUACAGCAAUGUACAUAAUUUGAUUAUUUGGAAUCAUUUGUUUAUUCAUUCCAGUAACCCAAGGAAACCAGAUUUAGAUUUUUGUAUUCCCUUUUAUUGCUGGUCCAGUUUUAAUGAUGCAGAUUUCAUCAAUUCUUACUCUUUCAUCAUCAUCAUCAUCUUCAUUUUAACAUUCACUUUUUUCAUGCUUGCAUGGGUUUGACAGAAUUUGUUGAACCCUGUUUUUCUAUGGCCAGGUGCCCUUCCUGUCGAAGACAUCACUUCUCAUAUUCACCCCUUCCAAGUUCUUCCAAAGUCUUCCUUUAACCAACCCCAAAUAAAGAAGUCACGGGUUGUUAAGUUGGGACUUCUGGCUGGCCACUCAUGCAGACAACAAUGACCCAUCCAUCUCCUAGGGAAGCAGGUUUUCAGUCAUGUGUGAAUGACAUGAACAAUGCAAUUAAAGAAUAAAUUCUCAUACCUCAAAAAAACAAACACAAAAACAAAAUUUGAGAAAAAAAUUACAAUUAAUAAAUAAUUUCUAAGUAUUUUAAAAUUGGGAGUUACUUUUCAAUCACCCUGUAUAUGCAAUUCACUCAUAAACAUUCAUACACUCCCACCCUGUCCUUUCUCUAUCUCUUUCUUUCCUCUUUCCUUCUCUCUCUUCUCUAUCACUCUCCUCUCUCUCUCUCUCUCUCUCUCUCUCUCUCUCUCUCUCUCUCUCGUGUGUUGUCUCCCCAGCCACAGUUGUCCUUCAUGACCAGUCACAAGGAAUCGAUGUUUGUGAUGUAAUGUAAGAAAUCAAUAUGUGUGUAUUUGUAUAUUUUGUUGCUAUAUCCUGUUUGUUAUUUACUGGUUUCAGUUAUUGAACUGUGGCCAUGCUGGGACAUCACUUUCUUUUGUUUCAUUGAUGAUAUCAACCUCGAUGCUUAUUUUAUCUUUAUUUUCAAAUGGCUAAGUUAUGGGCCAUGAAGUGGCCCAACAUUGCUGCAGUCCUCUGGCUUGCCAGCCCAUGUCAAGCUGUCAAACCCAUGCCAUCAUGGAAAACAGACAUUAAAUGAGGAUGAUUAUAUAUAUAUAUAUAUUCAUAUAGGUGCAGGAGUGGCUGUGUGGUAAGUAGCUUGCUUACCAACCACAUGGUUCCGGGUUCAGUCCCACUGCAUGGCACCUUGGGCAAGUGUCUUCUACUAUAGCCUCGGGCCGACCAAAGCCUUGUGAGUAGAAACUGAAAGAAGCCUGUCGUAUAUAUGUAUAUAUAUGCAUAUAUAUGUAUAUAUAUGCAUAUAUAUGUAUAUAUAUGCAUAUAUAUGCGUGUGUGUUUGUGUGUCUGUGUUUGUCCCCCUAGCAUUGCUUGACAACCGAUGCUGGUGUGUUUAUGUCCCCAUCACUUAGCAGUUCGGCAAAAGAGCCCGAUAGAAUAAGUACUGGGCUUACGAAGAAUAAGUCCCGGGGUCGAUUUGCUCGACUAAAGGCGGUACUCCAGCAUGGCUGCAGUCAAAUGACUGAAACAAGUAAAAGAGUAAAGAGUAAAAGAGUAUAUCCAAAAUCUAUGUAAAUACCCAUUUCUUUGACUGCUUCCUUCUGAAGAUAGGCCUUUGCAUCUGUGAUAUAAAGGGUUUUCAAACUUUCUGUAUUGUUAGAAGCUUUCUUAUUUCUCAUUUCAUUCAUUUUUUCUACUAUUAUACUACAAUGCUUCUAGUGAACUACAACACACUUCAUAUAUAGACACAAGCAUGGCUUUGUGAUUAAGAAGCUUGCUUACCAACCAUGUGGUUUUGGGUUCAGUCCCACUAUAUAGCACUUUGAGCCCCAUGCUAGCCAAAGCCUUUUGAGUGGAUUCUGUGGAAUGGAAACUGAAAGAAGCCUAUCACGUGAUAGUUUUAAAUGAGCAUCAUUACCAUGCAGGUGAUAGUGUAUAUUUCCAGUAUUCCUUGGGAAAACAUAGCCUGACCAUCAGAAAUAUUACCUUGCUUGGCAACCUAUAAGGAUUUUCUAUGGUAGGAUGUUCUCUCUGUAGUAGGAUGUAACAGAGAGAGCAUCCUGUCAUAGAUAAUCUGCCUCAACAAAUUUCAUUUGACUCAUAGAAGCUUGGAAAAAUGGACUUUAAAUUAUAAUGAUAAUAAGACUUUCUUGUCAGUACAUGAUCUUGUUGUUAUUGAUAUAUUAAAUAUUCUUGUUUGGCACGUAAAUUAUGACGUGUUUGGUGUGCUGGUGGCCUUCUGGGUAAAUAUGCUGUUUACUUUUUAAUUUAGAAAUCUAAGCUCUUAUCUUUUAUCUGUUUCAGUCAUUAGAGUGUGGCCAUGUUGGGGCAGUGCCUUGAAGAGUUUUUUUUUUUUGUUGAACUUACAUUUUAAAACCUGGUAUUUAUUCUAUUGGUCUCUUUUGCUGAACUGCUAAGUUAGAGGGAUGUAAACACACCAACACCAAUUGUCAGGUGGGUGGGGGGUCCAUGCACAUAGAUAUUUAUAGAAUGGGCUUCUUUCAGUUUCCAAAUCUACUCACAAAGCCUUGGUCAGCCUGAGACUGCCACGCAGUGGAACUGAACCUGGAACCAUGUGGUUGGGAAGUAAGCUUUUUACCACACAGUUAUGCCUGUGCCUUAGUUCAAAUUCACUCCAUAUUGGAUACAAAUGAGAGUAGGUUUGAACAAGGAACUAAAUAAGACUAUAUGAGAUAACAUAGCAAAGACCAUAACUGGAAGGCCUUUCAUUAUAGGAUUACUUAGUUGGCGCUGACCUGGGGUUAAAUACCAACAAACAUGGUAAUGUAUUGCACAUGACUUUGAUCAGCCCAGGUCUAUAGUAGAAGACAGGCCCAUGGUGUCAUAUAGUGAGGCUGAACCUAAAACCAAGUAGUUUAGAAGCAAAAUUCUUAACCAGGUAACCGUGUUGUUUCUGUUAUAUUAUCUGUUCUGUGUUAUCUUCACAAGUUAAUUUAUCUGUCACUUAGUGCUAGCAAGAUAAUUUACAAUACUAAAGUCCAACAUAACAAGUUGUCCCACCUUAGUAUGAUGUUUGUAGCUAGAAUUAACCCUAUAUGUAUAUAUAUAUUUCACUUUCCUUCCGUUAAGUGUAAUGUUAUUUCUCCUUGGAAACAUCUUUUCUGUGGCUAUACUAGUAACGGAGCUAUUUUUAGCACUAGAGCUAUCCACAUAGUGGUAACUCUCUUAUAAUUUAUGUAUAAAUUUGUAUUAUCUCCCUAGUUUUAUGUGCUAAGCCACUUGGUGUUAAAUUGAUGGUAUUAUUAAAUUACUAUCAACUUUUUCACGCUCAUUUAUAAAUAUAUAUAUAUAUACUCUUUACUCUUUUACUUGUUUCAGUCAUUUGACUGCGGCCAUGCUGGAGCACCGCCUUUAAUCGAGCAACUCGACCCCGGAACUUAUUCUAUUGUAAGCCCAGUACUUAUUCUAUCGGUUUCUUUUGCCGAACCGCUAAGUGACGGGGACACAAACACACCAGCAUCGGUUGUCAAGCAAUGCUAUGGGGACAAACACAGACACACAAACACACACACACGCAUACAUAUAUAUAUAUACAUAUAUACGACGGGCUUCUUUCAGUUUCCGUCUACCAAAUCCACUCACAAGGCUUUGGUCAGCCCGAGGCUAUAGUAGAAGACACUUGGCCAAGGUGCCACGCAGUGGGACUGAACCCGGAACCAUGUGGUUGGUAGACAGGCUACUUACCACACAGCCACUCAUAAAUACAAAGAUAGAGGAAACAGGCUUUAAUUGCAAAUUACAACAUUUGUUUCUUUGCCAAACACCAGCUUUAAGCUGCUGAGUUUUUAUUUAUAUGUCAUUCCAUAAAAUUAUUCUAUAUCUGAAUGAAAAUUUAGCAACUUAAAGCUGGUGCCUGGUGUAGAAACAAACGUAAUUUGCAAAUGAAGCCUGUUUAUUUUUUCCACCUUUGUGAUAUAUAAAUUUUUAUAUUUAUACCAUAGCAGAGUUCCACAUGUUUAUCCAACCUUGGAAAAAAUCUUGCUGCAAGAUGGCAUGUGGUAACCAGUAUAGGAACUUUCAAACGCCUGUUGAGGUUGUUACCCAAAUUAUAUUGAAUACAUAUAGUAAGAGGAGGGAUAUAAUAUCCUGGCGGAUACCAAAUUUUUCUGUGUAAAAUGCAGAGGCUGGUUCCUUCAGAUGGUGUGUUUUUGGUAAACAUGUGUUGGACAAUUAUUAUGAAUAAACUAACUGGAAAUAAACAAAGUUCAAAUUCUUCAUUCUUGUUAUUAUUGAUCUCAAGUAUAAUCAGCCGAAAUUGCAAAGAUAAUCUGGUACUUGACUGAGGAAAGAAAACUUUGAAUGACCCGUCUUUGUUUUCUUUGUAUCAUCUAUCUGGAUGUUUCGUUGUCCCAUUUUUGUAUCACCUAAGCUGUCCAGAUGUUUUGCGUUCUUGUCUCAUUUAAAAUUUUAUAUGUGUGUACACACACACACACACACACACACACACACACACACAAUUGGUAAGUGGUUGUAGUUUUGUUAGUGGGGCUCUUGUUUUUCUGCCACAAACUGAUGAACUGAUGUUAAUAAUGUCAAAAUAUCAUAAACAAACAUCUUCACUGUCAUUGCUUUAACAUUUUUUUCUCCCUUUCCACUGUUAGUAUGAGUUGAACAGGUUUGUAUGCAAAUUUACACUCGUCUUGUCUCAUCUCAUACUGUCUCCUAUCAUUGUACACUCCCUGUUCAUCCUAUGUGAUUUCCCAUCAUCCCCUUUUUAUCUCACUCUGCCUCAUCCCAUCCCCUGCCGUUUUUCAUCUUAAUCUUAUUCCCUCCUGUCUCAUCCCACCUCUUCUGUUACUCAGCAAACAUUGCUUGCUUCACCCCAUGUGUUGAGCCUCAUCUAGUCUCUACUUGUUAGACCACAUUGCCCUUUCCCGGAUUCUCUGACGUGUAUAAUCCUCCCUGUAUAAGAUGCUGGUACCGUGCAGGAUUACUUAUUCUUACCAGUUGAGUGGACAUGAAAUGAAGUGUUUCGCUCAAGAACAUCACACAUCGCCUGAUCCAGGAAUUGAAACCACAACCUUAUUAUCAUGAGUCCAAUACCCUAACCACUAAGUCAUGCACCUCCUACUCAUAUUGUCUCAUCACAUCCUCUCCCUAUCCAUCCUGUGUCAUCUCUCACCAUAUUCUGUCCCCUUUCAUCUCAUCCUUCCUUGUCCCAUCCUUUGUCCCCCUUGCACUUCAUCCCAUCUCCUCUCAACUCUGAAGCCCUGAUCUCUUUACUCUUUCCCUCUCGGGCUUCACUACCAUUUGUCACUCAGCAAACCUUGUCCCCUUCCCAUCAUGUGUUCCUGUGCUAACAUUUACUCUCUUUUUCUCUAUUCCAUAGGUGCACCUAGAAUGUUGUCAUUGGCUCAGGGAUAUGGAAUCUACCUGUUCUGAUCUAAUGUCUACGUGGCACACCAACGUCAGUUCCACUCAUGUCGCCAGGACUUCUAAACUUAACAAUAAGGAUUACUUCAGGAAAAGAACCCACAUGAAUCACAACCAAAACAACAACAACAACAAAAACAAUCUUUAAAAAAAAUCACAGAAAAAGAAAAAAAAAUAAUAAAACAACUAGGAUCUACAAUUUAAGCCGAUCAGAACCAUACUACCACCAACACUUUCGUGUCGGGGGUGGUAGCAGCCCGUUGCCUACAUGCAGAUUUCAUCGUUAACGAGACAACCGCCUGCCGUUCAGCCAAGCUUGCUGUAUUGCAGCUGUCGGUACCGUGAAUGUCUACUUCAGCACCAUCACCACCACCACCACCACCACCACUACCACUACCAUCAUGCUCUUCACUCUACGAGAACUUGUACAAUGGAUUGGUCUGACGGCCUUUGAGAUCUGGAUGCACCUGAUAGCGGUGUUUGUCUUCUCUAUAAUGGCUGCACUGAAGUACGAACGCGUGAUGGAUACGUCGUGGUGGAUGGUGUUUGCACCCAUGUUCGCCAUCGACGCCAUCGAUGCUUACUUCAUCAUCAUCGUGUUCAUCCGAACUAUAAAAGAACUGGACCUGCUACGUCCAGCCGGCAUCCGACUGGUCUCAUCCUUGCUAGUUGUCAUGCUGAUCUUUAUAUUCAAAACACUACUGUGCCAGAAACUAAGCCAUGAAAAGAUGAUCUCGUGUUCUGAGAUAAUGAUUCCCUUGUUUAUACUGUUACAGAUUAUCAUGUUUCGGGCCUGCCAAGUACACUAGCCUUUCAAAUGCCACAGUCUACUGUAAUAUUUGUAUAUAUAUAUAAUGACUGGUCGAAAAAAAAAAAAAAAAAAAAAAAAAUUUAGGAGUUAUAUAUUUAUAUAUAAUAAAUUUGCGAGCUUCUGUGAGUGACUGCGUUUGUAUGCUUGUGUGUGUAUAUGCUGUCGCAUGUGUGUGGAUCUCUCUCUCUCUCUUUCCUUUCCUUUAUGCAUUAUAAAUGUAUCUAUAUGUAUGUAUAUAUAUGUGUGUGUAUAUAUAUAUAUAUAUAUAUACAUGCACACACAAUUAUAUAUGCUUAUCAUAAAUUUAAUGUAGAUAGGUAUAUAACAUGUGUAUGUGUAUAUAUAUAUACAUACGCACACUUACAUGUAUGUACAUGAAUAUAUAUAUAUAUAUAUAUACAUACACACUCAAAUGUAUGUAUAUAUAUAUACACACACAUAUACAUAUAAUUUUGUGUGUAUGUGUAUAUAUAUAUACAUACACACACAUAAAUAUAUACAUAUGUAUAUAAUGUGGGUGGGUGUAUACAUACAUAUAUAUGAUGUAUAAAGCAUAUGCAUAUAUUCCCCACUUUUUUUUUUUAUGAUCCCAUCCCCUUUUUUUAUUCCUAUAAAACACUGAUGUUAUGAAAGUUUCUAAAAUAUUUUUUUUUUUCUGUGUGCAUGUGUGCGCAUGUUUUUUUUUGUUUUUUUUUUUUUGAAUGGUUGUUUUUCUUUCAGCAGAUCAGUGAGUUUUUUUUAAACCAAGAUGGAUGAAUUGAUGAUGAUGAUGAUGAUGACAAUGAUGCUGAUGAUGAUAAUAAUAAUUCUUUGAUAUUUCUGAUUGGUGUUUUUUUUUUUGUUUUGUUUGUUUUCUAAAAAAAAAUUUUUUUGAUGAUUCACUAAAGAAUUCUUCUUGUAAUUAAAAAAAAAAAAUGGUUUCUUGUUAUUUAUUGCAAAGAAAGAAAGAAAAAAAGAGUCUUGCUGCUAUUUUUUUGUUGUCAUUGCUGUUGCUGCUGCUUUUCUUCCACUUCAUUCAAGAUACUGUCCAUGGCAAAAAAAAAAAUAAAUGGUGGCGGGGGGAGGGGCAGAGAAAGAAUAUAUAUAGGCAUGUAUAUUUAUAUAUAUAUAUUGGCAUAUAUAGAUAAAUAUAUAUAUUGAUAUAUAUAUAUAUUGGCAUAUAUAUAUAUAUAUAUAUAACACAGAGAAAGAAAGAAGAAAACGAUGAAAUAUGAAGAGUGUAUGAGAAGAGGAGGAGGUGACAGAUGAACCGAUCUAGUGCCUUCAGAUGCUGCUUUUGUGGUUGUGCUAGGAUCCAAAAUUCACCGUGUUCCCAGUUCCGACAUCACCUGCUGGCCAGAGGUUCAGAAACCAAACACAUAACUGCGUAAACCUUUUAACCUUUAAAACUCUGAUUAUAUUUCAGGGCUGGUAUUUCCUUUUUCAUAUAUUUUCAUUUUGUAUUAUGAUUAUUAUUAUUAUUAUUAUUGUUGUUGUUGAUGCUGGGUGAGGAUUUUUUCUCUUUUUUUUUGUUGUUGUUGUUGUCUUUAUGGGAGAGAGGUGAUGGUUCUUUUUCUUGCUUUUCAAGUUUACAUUUUUCAAUUUAUUAAAGAUUCUUUAAAAGAAAAAAAAAAGAGUGUGGCAAGAUACACAGACAACACAUAAGCACACACAUGCAUGUACAUACAGGCGAAUAAAUUUGUCAGAAUCAAAGGCAAUCAAAAGAAAUUCUCCCCCAGUAGUAUUUAAUCUAAGUUAUAAGUCUGAAUAUAGUUAAUGGAAUGAGAUGAUCGGGCGUGGUUGUUUGGACUCUGACAAUGUGCACAACUGACUGGACAUUGAGCGACAGUACUUUUUGGCCCUAGAGAGAGAGACAAACACACACAUACAGAUA
rnacentral:lncRNA from 1 species